GAUGAACGCUGGCGGCGUGCCUAAUACAUGCAAGUUGAGCGAAUGGAUUAAGAGCUUGCUCUUAUGAAGUUAGCGGCGGACGGGUGAGUAACACGUGGGUAACCUGCCCAUAAGACUGGGAUAACUUCGGGAAACCGGGGCUAAUACCGGAUAACAUUUUGAACCGCAUGGUUCGAAAUUGAAAGGCGGCUUCGGCUGUCACUUAUGGAUGGACCCGCGUCGCAUUCGCUCGUUGGUGAGGUACCGGCUCACCACGGCAACGAUGCGUAGCCGACCUGAGACGGUGAUCGGCAAAAAUGGGACGGAGACACGGCCCAGACUCCUACGGGAGGCAGCAGUAGGGAAGCUGCCGCGAUGGACGAAAGUCGGACCGAGCAACGCCGCGUGAGUGAUGAAGGCUUUCGUGUCGUAAAACUCUGUUGUUAGGUAAGAACAAGUGCUAGUUGAAUAAGCUGGCACCUUGACGGUACCUAACCAGAAAGCCACGGCUAACUACGUGCCAGCCGCCGCAGUAA
rnacentral:rRNA from 1 species